GCGAUAGUAGCUCAGUUGGUAGAGCAUCAGCUUCCCAAGCUGAGGGUCGCGGGUUCGAACCCCGUCUAUCGCU
rnacentral:tRNA from 1 species